rnacentral:rRNA from 1 species
GUCUACGGUCCAUGCCACCUUGAAUGUGCUGAUCUCGUCUGAUCUUGGAAGCUAAGCAGGGUUGGGCUUCGUUAGUGCUUGUAUGGGGGACCAUCUUGGAAAAUCCAGGUGCUGUAGGCA